CUCUCUUGACAGAUGCACCUUCCCGUUGCCCCUCGAGUCUCAUGACAUCUCCUGUUUCUGCUGGGGAUUACCAUCUUCCGUUGGAAGAACUGCUUUUAGGAUUUCGUGAGUGUGAGCCUGUGGUGGUGAAUUCUGGAGAGCUGCUUUGCCUGGAGCGGAUCUGCUGAUGGGGAAUUCAGACAGGCAAGCUUUUUCAUUUCGACACUUUAGGCUGUCACCCUGCUAGCUUGCAGCUUGCUUCCUUCUUCCUUCUCAGGGAGAGUUCAGCUUUCAGCCUUGUUUUUGCUUCGGAAAGAUAACAAUGUAUCAUUUUCUUGUGUCUUUUUUUACAGUCCCCCACCCCAAGUGGGGGUUCAGAGCCUGGGCUCAGGGCAAAGCAGGCAGUUUAAGCUGCCUUUCGUCUCCCGUGGGUUUUUCCAGAAGGUAUCCGGGUGUGGUUUCUUUGUUUCAAUCCUGCUUGGGCUUGCAGAUCUUCCCACAUCUGUAAGCCAUGCCUUCUCUUGGAUUUAGAAGUUCUUAAUGGUUAGUCCUCAAACACAGCUCCAGCACUUUCUCCGUUUCCCUCUUGCUGGGCUGCAGUUACACCUGCCCACGUGGUAGGGUGUUCCCUGGUAAGCCACCCUCUUCUGUUCCCUUAUAUGCUUUAGUUCUGACCUUUGCUUGCCGAUCCCCAGUCUUUAGCCCAGAAUGCUACUACAUCUAAAACAAUGUUUGUUCAGGUUCCACAAUUAAGUCCUUAACUCAUUAGGGGCUGAUCCCACAGCUGGUGAGAUCCAGGUCUGAUUUCAUUCGUUUGUACACAGACAUCCAACUUUCCCAGCGGUUUGUUAAAAAGCCCACCCACUACCGAUCUUAGCAUGUUUGUGUGGUUCCUUCUAGACUGUCUGCUACAUUCCAAUGUCUGCAUCUCUCUCUCUCUCUCUCUCUCUCUCUCUCUCUCUCUCUCUCUCUCUCUCUCUCUCUCUCUCUCUCUCUGUUUUUUUUUCAUGCUAAUACCAUGCUGUUUGAUGGCUAGAACUUUGUACCAUAGUCUAAAGUCAGGAGAAAUGUCUCCUGCUCUAUUCUUUGUGCUUUCUGGGGGAGCUGUUUGGGUUGUAUUUGGGUCUGAAGUUGUGGUGAGUCCACACACAGUUGGGGAUUGUUUCUUCUAGUUCUGUAGAGUCCCCUGGGCAUUGUUAUGGGGAUCAUUGCAUUGAAUUUGUAGAUCGCAGCGGACCGUGUGCAUGUUUUAGCAGCACUGAGUCUUGUAGCCUGCAAAUGGGCUAUUUCCCUUUCCUCCGUGGGCUGUUCCACUUCUGCCCACUUGCUUUAUAAUUUUUGUUUUACGAUCGUUCACUUCUUUAACUAAACUUGUUUCUAAUUGCUCUACUACUGAUAGAGCAAUUAAAAAUGAUUUUUAUUCUUUUCAGCUAAGUCCCUAUUGGCAGGUGGAAGAGCCACUGUCGGGUCGGGUGUGUGUCCUGUGGCUUUGCUGGGGUUUUUAGUUGUAAUCAUCUUGAGUAACAUCUUCAAGGGAUUCUGUAUAUAUGUGACACGCUGUCGUCCUUGAACACUAACAUCAUUUCUCAUCCUUUCUGGUCUGGGUCUCUGCAUUACUAUCUAUCUCGUAGGACUUUCACUGUUGAAAUGAGUAAGUGUGACCUGGAGUGAGUGUGCCCUGGAGUAAGUGUGCCCUGGAGUAAGCGUAACCUGGAGUCCUUGUCAGGUUCUGGCUCCCUGCCUUCUGCGCAGCAGACACGGGCUCUGCGUAACCGCAGACACGGACUUUGGAGGCCAAGCUCUUACUGUCACAGGCAUAUUUCUCCUUGGCCUACUUUGUGCUGAUGCCACACCCCAUCAAGGCCUCCCCAGUAUCUACGAGACCAUCAUGUGGGUUUAUCAUCUCUUCUAUAGAUGGGGUGCACUGUAUUUGUCAAUUGGUAUACGCUUAGCCAUCCUUGUCUGAAACUGUGGAAUUACUAGGAGAAAUGUAAAGGAAAUGUGUCAAGACAUUAGCUCAAUGUCUCUUUGAUGGUGACCCCCCCAAAGCAUAGCAAAUGGACAAACGGGAUCAUGUCAAACUACGAAGCCUCCGUACUGCAGAGGAAACAACCAACAGUGUGAAAAGACCAUCCUGCAAACAGGGAGGAAAUGCCAGCCAAUCACACAUCUGAUGAUUAAUAGCAGAACAUGUGGGAAAUAAAAUCUCUCUCUCUCUCUCUCUCUCUCUCUCUCUCUUUUUUUUUUUUGGUUUUUCGAGACAGAGUUAUUCUGUGUAGCCCUGGCUGUCCUGUAACUCACUCUAUAGAUCAGGCUGGCCUUGAACUCAGAAAUCUGCCUGCCUCUGCCUCCCAAGUGCUGGGAUUAAGGGUGUGCACCACCACCACCUGGCAGAAUAAAAUAUCUUAAUUGCAAUAAAAACCAAUUUGAAAACAGGCAAUAGUACCAAAUGGGUGACCAACAGGUACCUGAAAAAAAAAAGUUCAAUAUUAGGGAAACAAACCAAAACUAAAAUGAGCUAGCCUCAUGUACUGGCUGUAAGGCAUUUUCUUAAUUAGUGAUCAAGGUGGGAGGGCCCAUUGUGAGUGGUGCUAUCCCUGGGCUGGUAGUUGUGGGAUUUAUAAGAAAGUAAGCUGAACAAACCAGGGGAAGCAAGCCAGUAAGCAGCAUUCCUCCAUGGCCUCUGCAUCAGUUCCUGCCUCCAAGAUCCUGCCCUGUGUGAGUUCCUGUCCUGACCUCCUUUGGUGAUGAACAGCAAUGUGGAAGUGUAAGCUGAAUAAACCCUUUCCUCCCC
rnacentral:lncRNA from 1 species